GGUACAGCUCAAUUAGUAGAGCAUAUGCUUAACAAGCAUUUGGCCUUGAGUUCAAUUCCCAGUACUGCCA
rnacentral:tRNA from 1 species